GACGAACGCUGGCGGCGUGCUUAACACAUGCAAGUCGUACGGUAAGGCCCUUUCGGGGGUAUACGAGUCGCGCACGGGUGAGUAACACGUGAGUAACCUCCCCACCACUGUGGUAUAACGCUAGGAAACUGGUUCUAACCCGGUGUAUAUGCUCUUGCUGCAUGGUGGGGGUUGGAAGGCUUCGGCGGUUGGGGAUGGACUCGCGGCCUAUCAGCUUGUUGGUGGGGUAGUGGCCUACCAAGGCGGCGGCGGGUAGCGGGCCUGAGGGGGUGACCGGCCCACUUGGGGAUUGGAAAAGGCCCAGACUCCUACGGGAGGCAAGCGGGGGGAAUAUUGCAGAAUGGGGCGAAACCUGAUGCAACAGCGGCCGGGGCGGGAAGACCGGCUUUGGGUUGGAAACCGCCUUCAGCAGGGACGGAGCUGUUUGUGACGGUACCUGCAGAAGAAGCACCGGCUAACUACGUG
rnacentral:rRNA from 1 species